GGCGAACGCUGGCGGCGUGCUUAACACAUGCAAGUCGAACGGAAAGGCCUGCUUUCCCUUGUGGAUUGCGGGUACUCGAGUGGCGAACGGGUGAGUAACACGUGAGUGAUCUGCCCCCAACUUGGGUAUAAGCCUGGGAAACUGGGUCUAAUUCCCGAUAGGACUGCAGGGUGGUGCCUGUGGUGGAAAACGAUUUUCUAGUGGUUGGGGAUGAGCUCGCGGCCUAUCAGCUUGUUGGUGGGGUAAUGGCCUACCAAGGCGGCGACGGGUAGCCGGACUGAGAGGGUGGACGGCCACAUUGGGACUGAGAUACGGCCCAGACUCCUACGGGAGGCAGCAGUGGGGAAUAUUGCACAAUGGGCGGAAGCCUGAUGCAGCGACGCCGCGUGGGGGAUGACGGCCUUCGGGUUGUAAACUCCUUUCGACCGCGAGGAAGCCACCUGGUUGGAAGGGUGGUGACGGUAGUGGUAGAAGAAGCACCGGCUAACUACGUG
rnacentral:rRNA from 1 species